CCUACGGGUGGCAGCAGUGAGGAAUAUUGGUCAAUGGACGAGAGUCUGAACCAGCCAAGUAGCGUGAAGGAUGACUGCCCUAUGGGUUGUAAACUUCUUUUAUAAAGGAAUAAAACGAGGCACGUGUGCCUUUUUGCAUGUACUUUAUGAAUAAGGAUCGGCUAACUCCGUGCCAGCAGCCGCGGUAAUACGGAGGAUCCGAGCGUUAUCCGGAUUUAUUGGGUUUAAAGGGUGCGUAGGCGGAAUAUCAAGUCAGCGGUAAAAAUUCGGGGCUCAACCCCGUCGUGCCGUUGAAACUGAUGUUCUUGAGUGGGCGAGAAGUAUGCGGAAUGCGUGGUGUAGCGGUGAAAUGCAUAGAUAUCACGAAGAACCCCGAUUGCGAAGGCAGCUUACUAAACUGUGACUGACAUUGAUGCUCGAAAGUGUGGGUAUCAAACAGGAUUAGAUACCCCAGUAGUC
rnacentral:rRNA from 1 species